AAUAAGAUGCCUGAACCAAUAGGACUAUUUUGAUAGAAUAGAAAAUGUACAACAUUAGUACUCUUAUUA
rnacentral:tRNA from 1 species